rnacentral:tRNA from 1 species
GAGGAUAUAGCUCAGUGGUAAGAGUGCAUGCUUAGCACGCACAAGGUCCUGGGUUCAAUCCCCAGUACCACCA